CAAAUGUGAAAUUUGGUUUUGAAAGACCUUACAAGUUCCAAUUUCUUUAGGACAACAGUGGAAAUUAAAGUCAUAGACAAUUUAGAACUUCAGUUUUUUCCCUUUGGAAAAAAAAAAAAAAAAAAACUUGUGAUAGGCAUCUCUGCAAGGUAGGUUUUAACAUAUUUUUUUCCUAAUUUUUUUUUCCUUCUUUCAGUAAGAAGGAUAAGCUUUUAGAGUACCCAGUCACCGUGGUAACUGCCAAAAAAAUUCUCCUGAAGUUUGAAGAGGUCAGCUAGCAGGGUCAACAACUCUAGCCUCUCUCUGAGCUCGGUCUAGCAUGCCCCAGCCUGCGGUUGGAGUGUCAGGCCAGAUCUGACCCUGGGAGGUGGACUAUUCCGGCUCUGAUAUAAAUUUUUUGAGUCAGUUCAUGGCCUGGACUCUCCAGGUGGCCUCCAAAAUCGAUUUUGACCCCCUGACCCUGUCUCACGGAGGCAUAGCAUCCACCCUAAGUAAGGAUUUAGCCAGGAAUGACAGCUUUCCACUGAGUGUUAUUGGGGACAGUAUAAACAGUUUGGAAAGCAAGUAAGGAGGUGUGAGUGCUAGAAAUCAUUAAAAACACAUUAAAAAAACAAUUAAAAUUUUUUCUUAGCUUAAAAAAGUUUAAAAUGUUUAUUGGUUGUGUAAUUCUUACAUG
rnacentral:lncRNA from 1 species